AGGAUCAUUAGUGAAUAAAUAGGGUGUCCAAUUUAACUUGGAACCCGACCUUCUCACAUCUAACCCUGUGCAUCUGUAUAUAAUGGCGAGCAAUUUUCGAAUUGUGAGCCAUUUCACUUUAUAAACACUAGUCUAUGAAUGUAAAAUUUUUAUAACAAUAAAAACUUUCAACAACGGAUCUCUUGGCUCUCGCAUCGAUGAAGAACGCAGCGAAAUGCGAUACGUAAUGUGAAUUGCAGAAUUCAGUGAAUCAUCGAAUCUUUGAACGCAUCUUGCGCUCUCUGGUAUUCCGGAGAGCAUGUCUGUUUGAGUGUCAUGAAUUCUUCAACCCAACUGUUUCUUGUAAACAGCUGGUGUUUGGAUUCUGAGCGCUGCUGGCUUCGUGCCUAGCUCGUUCGUAAUACAUCAGCAUCCCUAAUACAAGUUUGGAUUGACUUGGCGUAAUAGACUAUUCGCUAAGGAUUCAAUGUUCUGCAUUGAGC
rnacentral:rRNA from 1 species